GAUUUUUCAUGGAGGACGACGACGAGAUUCAGUCAAUUCCAUC
rnacentral:sRNA from 1 species